GUUUNGGUUANNAANUUCUUUUUNNNAAAAAAAUUUUUUUUUUCUUUUCCCCGUGGGGCGGUUCCNAUCCAGACCCGGCUAAUUAGUGCCACCAGCCCGGUAAUACGUGGGGGCCAACGUUUUCCGAAAUUUNNGGGGGGUUAGGGGGCCGGUGUUUAAAAAAUUCUGAUGUAAAGCCCACGGUCCACCCGGGGGGGUCAUUGGAAACUUUUAACCUGAUCCANANAGAAAGGANUUCCUAGUGUAGCGGUGAAAUGCGUAGAGAUUAGGAGGAACACCAGUGGCGAAGGCGGCUUUUUGGCCUGUAACUGACACUGAGGCGCGAAAGCGUGGGGAGCAAACAGGAUUAGAUACCCUGGUAGUCCACGCCGUAAACGAUGAGUGCUAAGUGUUGGUCUCAUAAGAGAUCAGUGCUGCAGCUAACGCAUUAAGCACUCCGCCUGGGGAGUACGACCGCAAGGUUG
rnacentral:rRNA from 1 species